UACGUAGGCAGCGAGCGUUGUGCGGAGUUACUGGGCGUAAAGCGUGCGUAGGCGGUGUCUUAAGUUUGUUGUGAAAUCUCCCGGCUUAACCGGGAGGGUGCGGCGAAUACUGAGAUGCUGGAGUGCCGGAGAGGUAAGCGGAAUUCCUGGUGUAGCGGUGAAAUGCGUAGAUAUCAGGAGGAACACCUGCGGUGUAGACGGCUUACUGGACGGUAACUGACGCUGAGGCACGAAAGCGUGGGUAGCAAACAGG
rnacentral:rRNA from 1 species